GUCAAUGUAGCCUAUAACAAGGUAUAACUUUGAAAAAGUUAAGAAGAUCAACUAAUCCAUAGACA
rnacentral:tRNA from 1 species